rnacentral:rRNA from 1 species
GACGAACGCUGGCGGCGUGCUUAACACAUGCAAGUCGAACGAUGAAGCCGGAGCUUGCUCUGGUGAAUUAGUGGCGAACGGGUGAGUAACACGUUAGUAACCUGCCCUUGACUCUGGGAUAACUGCGGGAAACUGUAGCCAAUACCGGAUACGACCCUCGGAGGCAUCUCCUGGGGGUGGAAAGAAUUGCGGUCAAGGAAGGACUCGCGGCCUAUCAGCUAGUUGGUGAGGUAAAGGCUCACCAAGGCGACGACGGGUAGCCGUCCUGAGAGGGUGACCGGCCACACUGGGACUGAGACACGGCCCAGACUCCUACGGGAGGCAGCAGUGGGGAAUAUUGCACAAUGGCGCAAGCCUGAUGCAGCAACGCCGCGUGAGGGAUGACGGCCUUCGGGUUGUAAACCUCUUUUAGCAGGGAAGAAGCGAAAGUGACGGUACCUGCAGAAAAAGCACCGGCUAACUACGUGCCAGCAGCCGCAGUAA